rnacentral:rRNA from 1 species
UUUAGUGGCGGACGGGUGAGUAACACGUGAGCAACCUGCCUUCGAGAGGGGAAUAACGACUGGAAACGGUCGCUAAUACCGCAUAACAUACAGGAGGGACAUCCCUUUUGUAUCAAAGAUUUAUCGCUCGAAGAUGGGCUCGCGUCCGAUUAGGUAGUUGGUGAGGUAACGGCCCACCAAGCCGACGAUCGGUAGCCGGACUGAGAGGUUGAACGGCCACAUUGGGACUGAGACACGGCCCAGACUCCUACGGGAGGCAGCAG